rnacentral:piRNA from 1 species
AGAGAAGAAACAGACAUGGA